rnacentral:sRNA from 1 species
UCGCUGGAUUCGGAGGUGACCAUAAAGCCAGUCUCUGAUGCCUACACACAGACUAUACAGUGUGAUGGAAUACAGGCAAAACUUGAAUGAUUAUGAAAUAGGAUUCUAUCCACUGGCUGGCAUGCUGGAAAGCUUUAUGGUCCUCUUGGCACGUGCUACAGUGGGGACUCACAACAGCUCUAUGACAUCAUUGGAAGAGUGAAGUAAAGUACUGGAUGUUUAACUGUAAAGGAGCUUCUUCAAAUGGGAGAAAAGAUGGGAGAUACAUGCCAACAGUGAGUCCAUGCAGAAGUGGCAUCAUAACUGGUGACUAGAAGUGGAAUAAGAGAUUCUUCCUGCAUCACGACUGCUAUAGCACACAGUCAGAAGGAGCAAGUGACUCACUCACACAGCUGCUUGGAGCUACAAUGCCACACAGCCUUUGUCGACCAGCUAUUCCCUGUGAAAGAAGCCUAGUCAGUUUGACCUCUCUUCUGCAUCUUCUAAACUCUUGGCCAAGAUCUUCUGGAAGAUGCUUUCUCACAUCUGAUUUCCUACAAAGUGCCUGCCACAAUCUCGCCCAUCUCUCGCCAACUGGUAUACUGUCUCUGCUUUCCAAAAUUCUAGAUACUCAACAUCAACUCCUACAGAAGACAAAGAAUUAAUAAGAAGUAUGUCCAGAAGACACUAGCCCCACUCUUCCAACCCCAUCACUGUGCUCAGUAGAUUCCCUGGUUUAUAAUCCAACUGGAAGAACUGAGGCAGGCACUCCUGUAUGCUGGCUCCCCAUAUAUGACCAACCACUCACAUAUAAGGUCGGAUGCUCUCCUUUCUCUCUGUCAUCAAGCCACUGAAUUCAUCAGGAAGGAGUCCUCUAUCAGCUCAAGUGCUUUGAGCUCAUGUGCUCUGGGCUCCCCACUAUUUAGUGGGCAGCUCCAGCAGGCAUUGAAAUAGGCUCUUAUCUCAACUUGAACCCGAAACCUGUGACUCUACUUUAUUCUCCAAAUACAGAAGCCCAAAAACCAAGAAGUAGGAAGGUAAUGUCAGUGAUGUCAGUGGUACAGCACUGCGCAUGGUGUAUGGAUGCAUCCCUCUGCGUUGUAAAGAAGAAAAGUCUUCACUCAGAAGUGGGCACCUGCACUGAAAAUUCAUGGAGUUAGAAUACAGGGAUGCGCCUGAUCCAUUCAAUGGUGCAAGAUUGGAGACAGGAUUCUUCCCCAGAAGAAAACCUUAUUAAGAGUUCCAAUGGAGACUGCAGCCUGACUGAUGGUGCUCACAUUUCUUCAACAUCAGUGAGACCACCCUUGGCACAAGAUACGGUCAACCGGAAGGAUGGGAACACAACAGGAAGAUGGGCCUUUGGCAUGCCUGUGGGAAACUAUCUUGAUUAGAUUAAUGGAGGUGGAAAGAUUCUCCCACCAUAGGUGUCACCAUUCCCUAGACAAGGCAUCCUGGAGUAUAUACAAGUGGAAAAGGUCACAAAAUCUACCUUAUUAUGAGGGUGGACAUGCAAGCUUCAGUCAAAGGCUGUUCUACAGUGAGAAUCUGUGGGAUUCUUCAACGGUGUCUAAGAUGAUGAACAGCAAUGGAAGCCAUGGAAGUGUCCCACAUUAAAAUGAGGGGGAAAGCUGCAAAGGUGGAUACUGGAAAAGAGCAGAAGAUCCUGGGGAUGGUAAUGUCCUCCUAUUUUCAGAAAGCUGCACAUUCUAAGCAUUGCUGGACUUUAGAGAAAAACCCUGAAAAUAUCAAGCAAAUAAGAUCUGUAUCAGCUGGUGAAAUAUA